rnacentral:rRNA from 1 species
CCUACGGGAGGCAGCAGUGAGGAAUAUUGGUCAAUGGCCGAAAGUCUGAACCAGCCAAGCCGCGUGCAGGAAGACUGCCCUAUGGGUUGUAAACCUCUUUUGUCCGGGAGCAAAGUCACCCACGUGUGGGUGUUUGAGAGUACCUGACGAAUAAGCAUCGGCUAACUCCGUGCCAGCAGCCGCGGUAAUACGGAGGAUUCGAGCGUUAUCCGGAUUUAUUGGGUUUAAAGGGUGCGUAGGCGGUGGAUAAAGUCAGCGGUAAAAUCGGGGGGCUCAACCCCAUCCAGCCGUUGAUUCUGGUGGACUAGAGAGGGGGAGCAGUAGGCGGAAGGAGUGGUGUAGCGGUGAAAUGCAUAGAUAUCACGCAGAACUCCGAGUGCGAAGGCAGCAUACC